GGGGAGUAUGGUCGCAAGGCUGAAACUUAAAGGAAUUGACGGAAGGGCACACAAAGAGUGGAACCUGCGGCU
rnacentral:rRNA from 1 species